rnacentral:misc_RNA from 1 species
GAAAUGCGAUAAGUAGUGUGAAUUGCAGAAUUCAGUGAAUCAUCGAAUCUUUGAACGCACAUUGCGCCCCUUGGUAUUCCAUGGGGCAUGCCUGUUCGAGCGUCAUUUGUACCCUCAGGCUCUGCUUGGUGUUGGGUGUUUGUCCCCGUCUCCGCGCGUGGACUCGCCCCAAAGUGAUUGGCAGCCGGCGUACUGGUCCCGGAGCGCAGCACAUGUCGCGCAAACGAGUGCCUUGGUACGGCGGCGUCCAUAAGCCCCUCUCUCACGCUCUUGACCUCGGAUCAGGUAGGGAUACCCGCUGAACUUAAGC